GUUUUCAUAGACUUCUGUUUCUGCAUCUAGAGUUGGGCAGGUGAAAUAUCCACCGUCUUUCUUGACCUGAAUCAAGCUCAGAGUGACAGUGUUUAAGUGAUCCAGAGGCCUAAGAGUAUUUCCAUGCCAAGUUCAAGAAGACAGAGGGAAGAGAGGAGUGAGAGGCAGGGCACGAAGUGGGGAACGAAUUGACUCUGCACCUGCAAAUGCCUAGCAGAUUAUAUGUCAAUUUCCAUGUGAAAUGAGAGACCAUGGGGAUUCAUUAUUGCUGGAGUUGAUGGUAUUGCAGUUUUACAACCAUCUAAUAAAUUAGCAUUUAAUACUGAGAGAUUUCAUCUUAAACUUAGAGGAUUGCUUUGUUUUAAAGAAGAUCUUUGC